ACCAUCCAAGACAAAAUCUGCAGGGGAAAGGCAAAAAGGGGAGAGGAGGAUGGCUUUCAGGUGGGAGACCUGGUUUUGUGCAAAAAUGUGAGGCAAGAGCAGAGAAAAGGCCAUCACUGGUGCAGUCUUGCUGUGACCCCAUAAAUGUAAUAACCAAAAUCUGGGCUGGAGAAAGGGGAAAGGUGCUGUGGUCCAAAAUUGGGCCAUACAAGUUAUUUUCGGAAAACAUUGCUGACUUGGCCCCUGGGAAAGAGUUGGAAAGUGAGAUCAUAAAUGCCUAUUUGACACUGGUGAGGCAACAACACGCUGCAUUGAUUAUGGACUCCUAUUUCAUUACAUCAGUUUGGCAGGGGUCCACAAAAGGUUUCAGAAAGAUAAUUUAUCUAAAAGAGAUGCGGGUUGUCUUUGUUGACCCAUUUGGGGCAACACAAGCACAAAUGGAUAAGUGCAGGGAUGUAACAAGAGCUCUGGUUAGGAGAAAAUGUCCAGCCAUUGGCAAAUGGACGUGCUCAACUGUUGCCCAUCCAAAACAGCAGGACCUAACAUCCUGUGGCGUCUUUGUAUGCAAUCUUGCAGAACAAAUUCUUUCGGGGACCAAUAUACUCUACCCUGUUGACGAGGAGGGGGUUGAAAGGCUCAGACUGGACAUAGUACUCUCUCUGAUCCAAAACUCAGAUGACAUUUCCCAGCUAUGUCAUGCCUGUGGUGAGAGAAGCUCAGGUGCAGAAACCAAUGACUGGAUUGAAUGCACCUUCUGCGGAAAGUGGUACCACACAGUGUGUGUGGACUUCCCCUGUGCAGAAUGCGACUACAAAUGUUGUGGGUGCUAAAUAAACAGAAACAAUUGAUCCCUGUGGUCUUUGCUUACUGAUUGUUUUUAGUGUUAACAAUCCACAUUGCUGACAUUGCAUCUUUCAACAUG